UAUAUUACAGAGAUAAAAUAAAGACGAUUCAGAAUAAGGCAUGAAUAUAUAAGGAAGACAAUUAGACACAUAAGAGACAGGUGUACUGCGGCAGAAAGGAAUAGACAAGGGAAGCGCCGAGCAACAUCCACAGCCGAGUAGAAGCACCAAGCGGCAACCCCGGCAAGCCGCAACCAGAUCCUCUGCCAUGGCGCAAAAGAAAAUAAACAACAAAAAAGGGAAAACAUAUGGGCCUGCAACAUCCUCAGCAGAAAGGAAGUGAGGCGGCUUCCUCCAUGGGAAAAAAGGAAGUGAGGUGGCGUCCUCCACCAGAACAGAUGCGUGAUGUCCAACGAAAAAAAAAAAAAACCUUCUGUCAGAGAACAGGGGUGUCUUCAUAAAUAAAAUUAAACAAAGAUUCUGCCCUGCCAAAGGCAACACAGCACAAAUAAAUAAGAAAGACAGUUAGACACAUAAGGGACAGGUGUGCUGAGGUGGGAAGGAAUAGACAAGAAUGGGGCAGAUGCAUGAACACAAAAUGUAAACAAAAGGCACAUGGCAAAAGUCCAGGCUACAUCCUCAUGACUUUGUUAAGAACCUAUGGGUUCAGAUGACAAGGACAUGUUUUAUGCUAUUAUUAGUGUUUACUUCAAAGAAAACAAAAUGCUAUUAACACGUAUCAGUGGUGUGUUUUUAAAUGCUUGUCACUGGGAACUGGAGCUUAAGCUUAAACUGGAAGCUCUAAAGUAAAGUUGCGUUCUUAAGUUUGAUUCAAAGUAAAAGAUAAACAUAAUUAGGAAAUAACUUUUUUGCUCUUCAUUAAACUUCUUCUAUCAGAGAGAUUUCAGCACACAGGACUGAUAAAGCUCCAGUGUAUCAUAUCUGUAAAGUCAUGUGACUCGUCACACCAUCAGAAUAGACAAGAAUUCACUGUGAGCUUCACACCUCAUUACAGCUAAUGGACCAAUCAAAUCAGUCCACAGCUUCAAAUCAUCCAAUCAGGUGUGAGUCUGGACCUGGUUUUGUACUGAACACACAAGUUCAUUAGAUCACUUGGUGUGAACAGGAACGAUGAUCAGACUCUUUGUCGCUCUUUGUGCUCUUUUUUCUCUCUUCACAGCUGUGAAAACUUCUGACAUCAAGGAGAUUGAUGUGAUAACAGUAAAGCGUGGAGAAGAUGUCACUAUGGAGUGUAGCAUUAGCAGUGUCAAAAAGAAAGAAGUAGUUUGGUACAGACAGAUUUCAGGAAAAUUACCUCAGUAUAUUGCAAAACCAUACAAGGACGAUUCGGGCUACAAAUUUAGUGAUGGAUUUAAUGAUGCUCGUUUCAGUAUUAGUGUAAAUGACAAUAAAUUUGAUCUCAAUAUUAAAAAAACAAGAGAAGAUGAUAAAGGAGAAUAUUUCUGUGGAGAAAUGGAAGGAAGUGCAGUGACGUUCACAUCUGGAACACGUCUGCAAUUUGAAGAUAAAGAGACGACACACCGUCCAACACUUGGAACACCCAUGUGCAAUGAAAUGAGUGAGAGCUGUACUGCUAACAUGCGUCUGUUCUUCUGGCUCUCCAUUUCAAGAAUCGGAGUUCUCAGUGUUACAGUUAUUAUAAUUACAAUAUGGUACAAGGUUUUAAAGUCAGGAUCUCAAACUUGAUAAUUAUCUUGUUUAAUAAUAAUAUAUAAUAUAAUGAAUAUAAUAAUAUAUAAUUAAUAAUAAUUGUCUUUUAACUGUUGUCUGUGUCGCUCUAACUGUAUUUUCCAGUACAUGACAUUUUUUUUUUUUUUUAUUUUACUCCAGUGUGUAUGUGUGUGUGUUAGAUUGAGUGUGUGUGCAUGUGUGUGUGUGCGUCCGUGUGUGUGUGUGCUUGUGCGUG